AUCCUUAGAGAAUCAAACUGAAAAUUUGUUAAUAAAAUAGUUUUCUUUUCUUCAAUGAGAUAACACUUAAUCUCAUACAUCCAGGAAAUUUUGAGUCAUGGAAUGUUCACUUCCAUUCCUAUUUAUCUCGAGUUACUGAACAUAGCGCAAUUUCAACGUUAUUUGUUCUAGUCUUUACAAAACUUAUUCAGAAGACACAAACAAGAAAUGAAAUACUUUAGAAGCUCGUAAAAGGUAUUUGAAAGAAUCAAUUUUCUAUAAAAGAUGAGAAAUUUUUCUAGGAGAGACUGACGAACUUACAGAUGGCAAAAAUUCAAAAUCUCGAUGGAUCUUUCCUAAAUUUCGCUAAGAAUUUUCUUAAUAUAAUAUGCUUAGCACGUUUUAAAUUACCAAAAUAGCAUCUACAAGUAUCUUGCAAUUGCCUAGGAAGGAAAACUUGCCAUGUAUACACAGCCUCGAAUAAAAAUCGAUAGAAAGAGACCCAUUCCGCCUCUUGUUUUCGAACUGACUUUAUAAAUAAACAACGGGAAGCACAUUGUAGCGAGUAUCGUUGAUGGACAACAUGUUUAUAGCCGUUGGAACAGAGGAAACUUGAUGAAUCGAACAGUUGUUGAGAAGAACGGGAGAUUGGUCGUUAAAUGUAGCGAAGAACGCAAUCAUUAUCGGAAUUUAUCUGGAAGUUGAAGGGGUGUGCAUGCUGAGAUGUUUCUCCCGAGAGUCCAGACUCGAAUGGGGGGCGUCACCGAUAACAUGUUUUGGAAUUCGAAAUGGAACAGUCCGAAGGACAAUGAUUAUUAUUCAAGAAGGAAAAGGAGCGUGCGAAGAGACACAGGAAAUAUCGAUGGUAGAUAUCUUUGAAACCGUUGGUCGUACAAUGCCCGCGAGCAAAUUACACUUUGCAGAUAAAUUAUACGACUUGACGUGUCUUCGAAUAGAUUAUCAUAGGCACUUUCCAUUACUGCACGUUUACGUGUCGAAUUAAGAGAAUUACGUAAACUGUCUUUACCAUAAUGAAUGAUUUUAUCCCGGAUGAAUGAGCAGGAAUUUAUCAGAAAAUUCUUUUUUAAGGAUAAAAGUAACCUUAAAUUAAAUUCCCUAUAAACGUAUAAAAGUCCCCAGUUUAGUGACAAGCAAGAAAUCCCGCGACUGGUAUGAAUCACCUUAAUUUCUCCUUUCUCAAUUUCUGAAUGACGGUAUGAUUAACAACGACCACGGGGAUCUCCGUAAAUAUCUAUUCAUCACGUUGAAAUUACGAAAAAGCAGGCUGAGCCGUUGAUAAUCGACUUUCCUUGAAAGAAGGCGAGGUUAGCUAUAAUCAGGAAAAGAAAUCAUGCCAGUAAUUGCAUUACUAGUUUACUACGGCAAAAUAAUGUUCAUCGCCAAGAGAAAAUUUGUUAUUCUUAUACGUAUUACUUUUGAUUUUAAUUUUAUUAUCUAAGAUGUUUUUUGGUUAGCUAUGGACAGGGGUUCAGAUUGUGCAACUUGUGGAAGAACAAUGAUUGAUAAUUAUGCGGUUUAUAUAGACUUUCUCUAAUUUCCACUAUGCAAUUCUCUUUUCAUUUUAAGUUUUCUUUUAUCGUCAAAAUACGAAAUUUCAAUGGGUGGGGAGCUCGAGAAAUGAACCUACUUUUUAUUAUUUUAUUCAGAAAGAGUCAAAUUUUAAAAUUUCUUCCUUAUUUCAUCAAACUGAAUAAAGAUGUAUUUUAGAUGUACUUAUGCUAGUUUUUAAGUUUAAUUCACGUAAUGUUUAACGUUUACCAAAGAAGGUCGGGUCAAGUUUUAGUAAAUUUAUUUAAACACGCGUUUGAAUGGACGAAAGUAUGUAACCUCGUUACGUUUAAAGAAUUGUUGGCCCAAAUCUAACCCAAUCUAACGCAACAUAAUCUGACCUAACUUAACCUGACCUAAUUCUUUUUCUUUAUAAAUUCCAACCAUUAAAUAGUUAAAGAUAAUAAAGCAAAAGAACAUAAAUUUAAAAUCAUUUUCCUUAUUUCGUCAAAAAAUAGUAGCAUCAAAUAUGUAGCGAAAAUUGGAAAAAGUUACUGAAUUGCAUAACUAUAAAUUAUUUAAUAUCUGAAAUGCAAAUAUAAUCUUGAAGUACAAAUUUAAUUUCCAUUAUUUCAAUUUUUCUUGUUACGUAUAAAUUUUUUAAACUACCUGGUUUAAUAACUCUUUAAACUGACAUGCACGAAAGACUAACCGAUCAAUCA